UACGUAGGGUGCAAGCGUUGUCCGGAAUUAUUGGGCGUAAAGGGCUCGUAGGCGGUCCAUCGCGUCGGGAGUGAAAAGCUGGGGCUUAACCCCAGUCCUGCUUCCGAUACGGGUGGACUAGAGGUAGGUAGGGGAGAACGGAAUUCCUGGUGUAGCGGUGAAAUGCGCAGAUAUCAGGAGGAACACCGGUGGCGAAGGCGGUUCUCUGGGCCUUACCUGACGCUGAUGCGCGAAAGCGUGGGGAGCGAACAGG
rnacentral:rRNA from 1 species